rnacentral:rRNA from 1 species
GAUGAACGCUGGCGGCGUGUCUAAUACAUGCAAGUCGAGCGAACAGACGAGGAGCUUGCUCCUCUGACGUUAGCGGCGGACGGGUGAGUAACACGUGGAUAACCUACCUAUAAGACUGGGAUAACUUCGGGAAACCGGAGCUAAUACCGGAUAAUAUAUUGAACCGCAUGGUUCAAUAGUGAAAGACGGUUUUGCUGUCACUUAUAGAUGGGUCCGCGCCGCAUUAGCUAGUUGGUAAGGUAACGGCUUACCAAGGCGACGAUGCGUAGCCGACCUGAGAGGGUGGUCGGCCGCCACGGAGGUGAUGAGAGGCGGCGCAGACUCCGGGGGGAAGCAGUAGGGGAGGGUAUGGAAUGGGGGGCAGAAUGCUGGAGCAACGACGUGGCGUGGAGGAUGGACGCCGGCGGGUUAAAAACUGUUUUUGGGGGAGAAGAAAGUCCUGAGCUAUGUGGUAGGGUUUGAGGGUGCCGAAUUAGAAAGCCACGGCUAACUACGUG